rnacentral:rRNA from 1 species
UACGUAGGGUGCAAGCGUUGUCCGGAAUUAUUGGGCGUAAAGAGCUCGUAGGCGGUUUGUCGCGUCUGCUGUGAAAACUCGGGGCUUAACUCCGGGCCUGCAGUGGGUACGGGCAGACUAGAGUGCGGUAGGGGGAGACUGGAAUUCCUGGUGUAGCGGUGAAAUGCGCAGAUAUCGGGAGGAACACCGGUGGCGAAGGCGGUUCUCUGGGCAUUACCUGACGCUGAGGAGCGAAAGUGUGGGGAGCGAACAGG